GACAGAGGGUGCAAACGUUGUUCGGAAUUACUGGGCGUAAAGGGCGCGUAGGCGGUUCGUUGCGUCAGAUGUGAAAGCCCCGGGCUCAACCUGGGAACUGCAUUUGAUACGGGCGAGCUUGAAUCCAAGAGAGGGUGGUGGAAUUCCCAGUGUAGAGGUGAAAUUCGUAGAUAUUGGGAAGAACACCAGUGGCGAAGGCGGCCACCUGGCUUGGUAUUGACGCUGAGGCGCGAAAGCGUGGGGAGCAAACAGG
rnacentral:rRNA from 1 species